CAUGGCCAUAUCACCCUGAACACGUGAUCUUGCUGACCUCAGAAGAUAAGCAGGGCUGGGUGUGGUUAGUACUUGGGUGGAAGAAGUUACUUAUUAAUGUAAUGA
rnacentral:rRNA from 1 species